rnacentral:siRNA from 1 species
UAUAACUCCAACCACAUGAUGC